CGACUCAAGCAUCUUUAGUAGUGAGCCGCAGGUGCUGAUGAGCUCUGUGUGGCACAUGGGUGAUCCAAAGAAUAUGUGGUUUAAAAGCUAAACUGGCUCUGGCCCACAUUUUACUUUUUUAAAGAAGUAGAUCCACUUUCCCCUCAUUUUGUUUGCAUCAGUGUUAAAUGGAACAGGCAUGUGGGAUUUGUUAGCCUAGUUUUGCUUCCUGGAGGUGACAAGAGGUGAAAGUGAGUGUGGUUUGGAGGGUGGUAUGGGAUGAGUACCUUGCUGGCCCCUCAGAGCUGGACAGGGACAGAGACAAGCCAGGAGGUGAUGAGGCAGGAUAAGCUUGGAGCUUAUUGCCUGUGAAGUCUGUUCUGUGACUUUGGCAGCCACCUGGGGAUGGGGAGCAGGAGCUGGCUAACAGGAUUCUUAAAACACCAUGAGCCAUUGCAGGGAGGAGAGAGGAGCCCACAGCACUGAAGCAGCACCAAGUCCUAAAUGAAUUGAGUGGAGAUCCAACACUCGUUUUGCCCUCGCCACCGGGGCAAGUGUUCUCAUAUCAACCACAGCGUGUGGGGCAAGGAGUGCGUUCGGGAUGCCAUUUCUGAAUCACUGGAGUCUCCUAGCAGCUCAGCAGGAGACAAGGGAUGGAAUCGGAAGGUGCUGUGGGCACGUCUCCAUCAUCCCAGGCUGGCUUGAGAUCAAGCCUGGAGUCAGGAAACCCCUCCUUUCUGAGUCACGGAGGCCUUUCCUUGGAGCCCCCUCCCCCUCAACAAAUAAAACCAGGGCAUGGAGAUCAUUAUGCCGCACAUUAUUAGGCAAAAUUGGAUUAAUUAACCUCGUCUGGCCUCUCAGCUUGGGAGACAGAAAAAAAACGAGGCCUAGUUCAAAUGCAGCAUUUUGAAAAUGUCAGCCAUGACUUGGUGAUAAAUAUUUAUAAAUAUAUAUGCUACAUAUCAACAGGGUGGCUAGUGUAUUUUUACAUGUAAGUACACAAAGGCACUCUGUUGUUAAUACACAUUCAAAGCAGCAGCCUUGAAAGGGCCAUUAUGGCUUGUACUAUGAAUGUUUAUUAAGAAUAAUAUGCAAAACGGGGCUUCAUCUGAAUGGGACCAUUGACGGGGUAUCAGAGCAACCAGGGCUGGUAUGGCGGAUCGUCAGGAAUGAUAAUAAUGUUCCUGACAGGACUCACCCUGGCCUGAGAGAGUGGUGUGAUGUGUCACUGGCCCAGGCCACUUCUGGUUGUGGGUGUUUGUUCUGGAAACAUUGACUUAGCGCUUGAGCUUGCCCUAGACUAUAGUACUUAGGACCUGAGUCAUGGAACCAUAUAAAGGGUUUUCCCCUCGAAUUGAGCUCCAAGUAGUAAUUGGAGUCUUACAUGUACAUCCCACCUAAAUCCUUUCCUCUUCUCCACCCUCUGAGUAGGAAACAUUUCCUGGGGAUUUUCCUACGUGUAUCCUUUCCCAGCCUUUCCCUUGCUUUGCUUAGUAGAGACAGAGUCUCUGAGCUUAAUUUCUUCUGGGUAUUCCAGGAUUCCUUUCUUGUUUUAGAAGACUUUCAUUCAUUCAUUUAACUAAUAUUUAUUGGGUGCCUACUGUGCCAGACAUGGACCUGAUGCUGGGGCCACACUGAAUGGGUAAGAUAGACAUGGUUCCUCCUCACCUUCCUGGGAAGAGGCAUAAAAAACAAGUCAACAAAGAACAAGGAUGACUUCAGAGGGACGUGUCACCAAAAUUCAAGUGGGUUCCAU
rnacentral:lncRNA from 12 species